AUUGAACGCUGGCGGCAGGCUUUACACAUGCAAGUCGAACGAGUGGCGGACGGGUGAGUAACGCCUGGGAACCUGCCUGAUGGUGGGGGAUAACUUUUGGAAAGGGUAGCUAAUACCGCAUAUUAUUCGAUGUGCCUCUGUGUGAUUCGCUAGUUGGUGGGGUAAAGGCGCACCAAGGCGACGAUCCGUAGCCGGUCUGACAGGAUGACGGGCGACACUGGAACUGAGGCACGGUCCAGACGCCUGCGGGAGGCGGCAGUGGGGAAUAUUGGACAAUGGGCGCAAGCCUGAUGCAGCCAUGCCGCGUGUAUGAAGAAGGCCUUCGGGUUGUAAAGUACUUUCGUCGGGGAGGCGUUACCCGAAGAAGAAGCACCGGCUAACUCCGUGCCAGCAGCCGCGGUAAUAC
rnacentral:rRNA from 1 species